AUUGAACGCUGGCGGCAGGCCUAACACAUGCAAGUCGAACGAGUGGCGGACGGGUGAGUAAUGUCUGGGCAACUGCCCGAUGGAGGGGGAUAACUACUGGAAACGGUAGCUAAUACCGCAUACCAUCGGAUGUGCCCAGAUGGGAUUAGCCAGUAGGUGGGGUAACGGUUCACCUAGGCGACGCUCCCUAGCUGGUCUGAGAGGAUGACCAGCCCUACUGGAACUGGGACACGGUCAAACUUCCAACGGGAGGCGGCGGUGGGGAAUAUUGCACAAGGGGCGAAAGCCUGCUGCAGCUACGCCGCGUUUUUGAUCAAGGCCUUCGGGUUGUAAAGUACUUUCAGCGAGGAGACGUUACUCGCAGAAGAAGCACCGGCUAACUCCGUGCCAGCAGCCGCGGUAAUAC
rnacentral:rRNA from 1 species